UGGGGAAUAUUGGACAAUGGGCGGAAGCCUGAUCCAGCAAUACCGCGUGUGUGAAGAAGGCCUUAGGGUUGUAAAGCACUUUCAAUUGGGAGGAAAACCUGCCGGCCAAUACCCGGUAGCUUGACAUUACCUUUAGAAGAAGCACCGGCUAACUCCGUGCCAGCAGCCGCGGUAAUACGGAGGGUGCGAGCGUUAAUCGGAAUUACUGGGCGUAAAGCGUGCGUAGGCGGUCCGUUAAGUCAGAUGUGAAAGCCCUGGGCUCAACCUGGGAACGGCAUUUGAAACUGGCGGACUAGAGUUUAGUAGAGGGGAGUGGAAUUUCAGGUGUAGCGGUGAAAUGCGUAGAUAUCUGAAGGAACACCAGUGGCGAAGGCGACUCCCUGG
rnacentral:rRNA from 1 species